AUGUGGAUGUUCGGAAAACCAGACGCCGAAAACAGCAGGUCCUGCAGGUGCGAGUGCCCGGCUCUAAUCAGACUGCUUCGUUCAUCAGACAACAGUUGGUACAUAACGGAGCACCGAGCAAGCCACAAUCAUUCUAUGUCACUUACAAUGGGAGAGAAAGUGCACUGGCCAUCUCAUAAACACAUAGACGUCUACACCAAAGACUUGAUAAGCCAGUUGAGGCAGAACAACGUGAACCUAGGCAAGGUUUACAGCAUAAUUGGGAGCUUCUUUGGAUCGGUUGAGAAUGUUCCUUUCACUAAAAGAACACUGAGGAACAUAUGUGGGAAGAUAAGUCGCGAGCAGGCCGAAGAUGAUGUACGGAAAACACUCCAGGUGUUCGCCGACAUCCGGUCGAAUGACCCCGACUUCUCGUAUGUGGUUCUGGCUGAGAAGGACAGCAAGGUGAAGAAUCUCAUGUGGGCAAAUGGGAGCAGCAGGAUGCAGUACAUGUUCUUUGGUGAUGUGGUGACAUUCGACACCACGUACAAGACAAAUCUGUAUGAUAUGCCAUUCGGUCUUUUCGUCGGAGUUAACAAUCACUAUCAGAGUAUCAUCCUGGCAGGAGUUUUGAUGCGUGACGAGCAAGAAGAAAGCUUUGAAUGGGUGUUUACAGAAUUCAUUCGCAUGAUGGGCGGACCUGCUCCAAAAACAAUACUCACAGACCAAUGCAGGGCUAUGGAGGUUGCAAUCAAGAAAGUUUUUCCAAACACUGUCCACCGUUGGUGUAAGUGGCAUGUUCUGAAGAAGGCGAAGGAAACACUUGGGCCGCUUUACACGAAGAAAAGUGAUUUCCAGGCUGAAUUUCACAAAGUUGUUAAUCACAUGUUAACUGAGGAAGAAUUUGAAACAGCCUGGGCGGGGCUGCUUGAUAAGUACAACUUGAGGGCGCAUAACUAUAUGACCCAAAUAUAUGAGACAAGACAUAAAUGGGCAAAACCAUACUUCAGAGGAGUGUUUUGUGCAAAGAUGACAAGUACAUAG
rnacentral:rRNA from 1 species